GCGGUGGAGCAUGUGGUUUAAUUCGAAGCAACGCGAAGAACCUUACCAGGUCUUGACAUCCCGAUGCUAUUUCUAGAGAUAGAAAGUUACUUCGGUACAUCGGUGACAGGUGGUGCAUGGUUGUCGUCAGCUCGUGUCGUGAGAUGUUGGGUUAAGUCCCGCAACGAGCGCAACCCCUACGUUUAGUUGCUAACGCGUGAAGGCGAGCACUCUAGACGAACUGCCGUUGACAAAACGGAGGAAGUGGGAUGACGUCAAAUCAUCAUGCCCCUUAUGUUCUGGGCUACACACGUGCUACAAUGGCCGGUACAGACGGACGCAAAGCCGCGAGGUGGAGCAAAUCCGAAAAAGCCGGUCUCAGUUCGGAUUGCAGGCUGCAAUUCGCCUGCAUGAAGUCGGAAUCGCUAGUAAUCGCAGGUCAGCAUACUGCGGUGAAUACGUUCCCGGGCCUU
rnacentral:rRNA from 1 species